AAUUUUCCGCAAUGGGCGAAAGCCUGACGGAGCAAUACCGCGUGAGGGAGGACGGCUUUUGGGUUGUAAACCUCUUUUAUCAGGGAAGAAUCGAUGACGGUACCUGAUGAAUCAGCAUCGGCUAACUCCGUGCCAGCAGCCGCGGUAAUACGGAGGAUGCAAGCGUUAUCCGGAAUUAUUGGGCGUAAAGCGUCCGUAGGUGGUUUAUCAAGUCUGCUGUCAAAGCGUGCGGCUUAACCGCAUAAGGGCAGUGGAAACUGAUGAACUAGAGUGCGAUAGGGGUAACAGGAAUUCCCAGUGUAGCGGUGAAAUGCGUAGAUAUUGGGAAGAACACCAGCGGCGAAAGCGUGU
rnacentral:rRNA from 1 species